UACGAAGGGUGCAAGCGUUAAUCGGAAUUACUGGGCGUAAAGCGUGCGUAGGCGGUUUGUUAAGUCUGUUGUGAAAGCCCCGGGCUCAACCUGGGAAUUGCAUUCGAGACUGCGUAGCUAGGGUGCGGAAGAGGGAAGCGGAAUUUCCGGUGUAGCGGUGAAAUGCGUAGAUAUCGGAAGGAACACCAGUGGCGAAGGCGGCUUCCUGGUCCAGCACCGACAUUCAGGCACGAAAGCGUGGGGAGCAAACAGG
rnacentral:rRNA from 1 species